rnacentral:piRNA from 1 species
UAGCCUGCUCUUACUUCAAAGACACCU